AUACUUACCUGGCAGGGGAGAUACCAUGAUCACUAAGGUGGUUCUCCCAGGGCGAGGCUCAUCCAUUGCACUCCGGGUGUGCUGACCCCUGCGAUUUCCCCAAAUGCGGGAAAUUCGACUGCAUAAUUUGUGUUUUUUUUUUCUUCUCUAGGGCGGAGUGGU
rnacentral:snRNA from 1 species